rnacentral:rRNA from 1 species
AUGAAAGCGCUUUUCUGGAAUGUUAGAGGUUUCGGGGCACGGGGGCGCCGGGACCAAAUGAAAGACAUCGUUAGGGGUGAGAAUAUUGACCUGAUCGGUUUAGUUAAAACCUUUAAACCCUCCUUCUCUCCUCGUGAACUUUCUGCAGUUACGGGUGUCGACCGUUUUGACUGGAAUUGUCUCCCUUCAUCGGGUCACUCGGGUGGUAUUCUUAUUGGUUCCAAACGUGACGUCUUCGAUUUUGUUACCUUCGACCAUGGUAUUUUCUGGGCUAGCUCGGAUGUGUUUCACCGCCAACUUAAUACUCUUUGGGAAGUGAUGGUAGUAUACGGCCCGGCGGAUCAUUCUCUUUCCCCCUUAUUCCUGGAUGAAAUCUCUAAUAAGGUCGAAUCCUGCACCCUUGCCCUUCUAAUUGGUGGUGACUUCAACCUGCUG